UACGUACUGUGCGAACGUUAUUCGGAAUCACUGGGCUUAAAGGGUGUGUAGGCGGCCGGCUAAGUAGGGUGUGAAAGGCCUCGGCUCAACCGAGGCACUGCGCUCUAAACUGACCGGCUUGAGUGAGAUAGGGGUGUGCGGAACUUCCAGUGGAGCGGUGAAAUGUGUUGAUAUUGGAAGGAACGCCGGUGGCGAAAGCGGCACACUGGGUCUUGUCUGACGCUGAGACACGAAAGCCAGGGGAGCGAACGGG
rnacentral:rRNA from 1 species